rnacentral:rRNA from 1 species
GUGAACCUGCAGAAGAUCA